rnacentral:rRNA from 1 species
UGGGGAAUAUUGCACAAUGGGCGCAAGCCUGAUGCAGCCAUGCCGCGUGUAUGAAGAAGGCCUUCGGGUUGUAAAGUACUUUCAGCGGGGAGGAAGGUGUUGAGGCUAAUAACCUCAGCAAUUGACGUUACCCGCAGAAGAAGCACCGGCUAACUCCGUGCCAGCAGCCGCGGUAAUACGGAGGGUGCAAGCGUUAAUCGGAAUUACUGGGCGUAAAGCGCACGCAGGUGGUCUGUCAAGUCGGAUGUGAAAUCCCCGGGCUCAACCUGGGAACUGCAUUCGAAACUGGCAGGCUAGAGUCUUGUAGAGGGGGGUAGAAUUCCAGGUGUAGCGGUGAAAUGCGUAGAGAUCUGGAGGAAUACCGGUGGCGAAGGCGGCCCCCUGGACAAAGACUGACGCUCAGGUGCGAAAGCGUGGGGAGCAAACA